CAGCACCUCAAGUGGUCAGGAUGAUUAUUGGGCCUAAAGCAUCCGUAGCCGGCUCUGUAAGUUUUCGGUUAAAUCUGUACGCUCAACGUACAGGCUGCCGGGAAUACUGCAGAGCUAGGGAGUGGGAGAGGUAGACGGUACUCGGUAGGAAGGGGUAAAAUCCUUUGAUCUAUUGAUGACCACCUGUGGCGAAGGCGGUCUACCAGAACACGUCCGACGGUGAGGGAUGAAAGCUGGGGGAGCAAACCGGAUUAGAUACCCGAAUAGUCC
rnacentral:rRNA from 1 species